rnacentral:RNase_P_RNA from 1 species
GGAGCUGGCCAGGCAAUCGCCGCGCAUCGCAAGGUGCGGGGAGGAAAGUCCGGGCUCCAGUGGACAAGGUGCCAGGUAACGCCUGGGGGGCGCGAGCCCACGGAAAGUGCAACAGAGAGCAGACCGCCUAAGCGCCGCAAGGCGCCGGUAAGGGUGAAAGGGUGCGGUAAGAGCGCACCGCGUCGGUGGCAACACUCGACGGCACGGCAAACCCCACCUGGAGCAAGGCCAAAUAGGGAAGGAAGCAUCCCAUCCGCAAGGGUGGGAGGCAGCGUGGGUCCCGCGCUCCUUCCGGGUAGGCUGCUUGAGGGCCGCGGUGACGCGGCUCCUAGAGGAAUGAUUGCCCCCGACAGAACCCGGCUUACCGGCCAGCUCCCUCU